rnacentral:tRNA from 1 species
UUUCUGUAUAGUCUAAUGGUAGGACACAAGACCUUGAAUCUUGAGAUGUUGGUUCGAUGCCAGCUAUAGCAGU